rnacentral:rRNA from 1 species
GUAGGGUGCAAGCGUUAAUCGGAAUUACUGGGCGUAAAGCGUGCGCAGGCGGUUUUGGUAAGUCUGUCGUGAAAGCCCCGGGGGCUUAACCUGGGGAAUUGCGAUGGAGACUGCAAGGCUUGAAUCUGGCAGAGGGGGGUAGAAUUCCACGUGUAGCAGUGAAAUGCGUAGAGAUGUGGAGGAACACCGAUGGCGAAGGCAGCCCCCUGGGUCAAGAUUGACGCUCAUGCGCGAAAGCGUGGGGAGCAAACAGGAUUAGAUACCCUGGUAGUCCACGCCCUAAACGAUGUCUACUAGUUGUCGGGUCUUAAUUGACUUGGUAACGCAGCUAACGCGUGAAGUAGACCGCCUGGGGAGUACGGUCGCAAGAUUG